GCAAAAAUCUCAAAAUACUAAAAUUUACCGAUUUCAUUAACAGGGCGGACACUACCAGGCCACCUUUUCCGACCUUUGUUUGGUAGUGUUGUGCCCAACCCUUGCUGGAGACCCAGAAGUAAGGGCCACUAUUGACUUAAGCAAUGUUACCCAGGAUCGCAUACAAGCUGCUGUAGCAGAGGCUGAGGCGAGACUGGCCCUUACAACCGAAUCAAUGUGAGUUUUGUUGAUUGUCUUGAAUCACCAUCACCAUCC